rnacentral:rRNA from 1 species
UACGGGGGGGGCAAGCGUUGUUCGGAAUUACUGGGCGUAAAGGGCUCGUAGGCGGCCAACUAAGUCGGAUGUGAAAUCCCCAGGCUCAACUUGGGAACUGCCUGUCAGACUGCUGGGCUUGAGACCGGGAGAGGUGAGUGGAAUUCCCAGUGUAGCGGUGAAAUGCGUAGAUAUUGGGAGGAACACCAGUGGCGAAGGCGGCUCACUGGACCGGAACUGACGCUGAGGCGCGAAAGCGUGGGGAGCAAACAGG